rnacentral:rRNA from 1 species
GGUUAAGCUACUAAGAGCGCACGGAGGAUGCCUAGGCACUAGGAGCCGAAGAAGGACGUGGCGAACAACGAAAUUGCCUCGGGGAGCCGUAAGCAGGCUUUGAUCCGGGGAUGUCCGAAUGGGGAAACCCGGCUGCGGUAAUGCGCAGUCACUUCUUACUGAAUACAUAGGUAAGAUGAGGCAUACCAGGGGAACUGAAACAUCUAAGUACCCUGAGGAAGAGAAAACAAUAGUGAUUCCGUCAGUAGCGGCGAGCGAACGCGGAUUAGCCCAAACCUACGGACUUGUCCGUAGGGGUUGUAGGACGUCUCACAUGGAGUUACAAAGGUGUUGGUUAGGCGAAGAGGUCUGGAAAGGCCCGCUAUAGAAGGUAAAAGCCCUGUAACCAAAAGCCAGCACUCUCCGAGACGGAUCCUGAGUACGGCGGGACACGUGAAACCCCGUCGGAAUCCGGCAGGACCAUCUGCCAAGGCUAAAUACUCCCUAGUGACCGAUAGCGAAGCAGUACCGUGAGGG